UACGUAGGUGGCGAGCGUCGUCCGGAUUUACUGGGCGUAAAGGGAGCGUAGGCGGACUUUUAAGUGAGAUGUGAAAUACCCGGGCUCAACUUGAGUGCUGCAUUUCAAACUGGAAGUCUAGAGUGCAGGAGAGGAGAAUGGAAUUCCUAGUGUAGCGGUGAAAUGCGUAGAGAUUAGGAAGAACACCAGUGGCGAAGGCGAUUCUCUGGACUGUAACUGACGCUGAGGCUCGAAAGCGUGGGGAGCAAACAGG
rnacentral:rRNA from 1 species